rnacentral:miRNA from 1 species
AUGUAUGUAUGCAUGCAUGUAUGCAUGCAUGUAUGUAUGUAUGUAUGUAUGUAUGUAUGUAUGUAUGUGUGUGUGU